AUCGCGAGAGUUCACCUGCGAGCAGCGCGAUUUACAACGCGAUGCAGGUGCUUCUUAUGAAGUGUGGGAACCGGGAAGUUCUUGUGCAUGAAGCAAGACUUUAAGUUUAAAGUCACAGUGGAGCCACUGAGCAGUGAGACUAAGCGUACUCGUCAGGCUUACAUCUGAAGACCAAACAUCUGUGGUGAAGUUCAUCGCGGUGUGGUUAUGAAGAAGCUCGUGAAUAUGAUCUGUCAUACGGUUGUAUAACUCCGUGCAAGGUGAUGUGAUGUUGAUUCUCAAGAUUGUCUUCACUAUACAGACCCUCUGAGGACCUGAAUGCACUGCUUUGUUACUCUGCCUGUUCAAACACCAUGAAUGAAGCUUCUGCUUGCACACACCAAGAAUUACAAAUGGUGUCUGACUGGAAUGAGUUGUUUUAAUGCCAAUUCCAUCACAAAUAUCACAGAAACAGAGGGCAGCAAGGAUGAAGUGGUUUAGAGGUCAUUGAAAAACAAGCGCUUCCAUUUUGUUCCUUGUGUGUAGAUAAUAAAGUUG
ensembl:lncRNA